rnacentral:rRNA from 1 species
AGUGAACGCUGGCGGCAGGCCUAACACAUGCAAGUCGAACGGCAGCACAGUAAGUGCUUGCUCUUACGGGUGGCGAGUGGCGGACGGGUGAGGAAUACAUCGGAAUCUACUUUUUCGUGGGGGUAAAAGAGGGGAAAUUAACUUCAAACCCCACACGGCCCAUAGGGUCAAAUGAGGGGUUUUGGGAACUUGGCGCGAUCGAUCGCGCAGAUGUGGACCCGCGGCGGAUUAGCUAGUUGGCGGGGUAAAGGCCCACCAAGGCGACGAUCCAUAGCUGAUCUGAGAGGAUGAUCAGCCACACUGGAACUGAGACACGGUCCAGACUCCUACGGGAGGCAGCAGUGGGGAAUAUUGGACAAUGGGCGCAAGCCUGAUCCAGCCAUACCGCGUGGGUGAAGAAGGCCUUCGGGUUGUAAAGCCCUUUUGUUGGGAAAGAAAAGCAGCAGGUUAAUACCCCGCUGUUCUGACGGUACCCAAAGAAUAAGCACCGGCUAACUUCGUG